rnacentral:rRNA from 1 species
GCGACCCCAGGUCAGGCGGGAUUACCCGCUGAGUUWAA